GGAAGGAAGGGGAAGAGACCAUCAUUUAGAACUUCAUGCAGCUACAUAGAGAAAUAUAGAAAACAAUUAAUCUAAGGAAGUUUUGUUCCUCGCUGUAAUUCUACACUGCUUCUAAGCAGACCAUGAAGGCCACCAAUGGUGUCAUUACACUGUCUGAGGGCAACGAUGUCAUUAGAGACCUGUAAAUGAAGUGGUGUGGGUCAAUAAAAUGAUGUCACCAGCAGCAACAAAAGGCCUUUGAGAAUGAAGAGCUGGGCAUGGAACGCCAACCAAGAUGUGACUUCAGGAAUUUGUGGUAGCUGAAGACUUACACCUUCCCCUCCUUAUUUGAUCCUGGACUGCCACAUGGAAAAGACAUAAUUCCAGCAAGGUGGAAUUACAUACUGGGGACAUAAAACAUCUUGCAGAUGGUGGGAUUUCGAAGCCGAUAUACUAUGUCUUAAAAGGCGUAUUUGUAGAACGCGAAGAGGUUUUUGUCUUGCAUUUUUCCAUCCCUUCAGAUCAUUUACGCGAAUCGACUCCCAAAGUAAACAUUUGAGAAAACCAAGAGACUGAAACUCAUCUAGAAACGGGUUCAGUCAGGGAAAUAUUUAAAACUCAAAGCAAAUAAUAAAGAUCAGCCAGUUCUCCAAA